UUCUCUGGAAGUGGAUGUCAGGAACAGUUCCCUAUUAGCUUGCUGUGAGGAUUCAAUUUAUUAAUCUGGGAAAGUGUACAGAAGAUAUAUAUAUACACACACAUAUGUAUAUAUCUUAAAAAUGAAGUAGAAAUCAGCUGCGGAAAUGUGGACAACACAAAACCAAACUGUCCUGACACAUUUCUUCAGAAGUUCUGGCUAUACCUUUCUCCCAGGUGAGGAUGGACUCUUUCCAACACUUCAGGCUUGGGAAAUUGGGAUUUCCCUAUUCCUCUUAGAGAGAAUGGAGGUAAAAAGGCAUGUCUGUUUGAUGAGUCAUCUACAGGUGAGUUAUGCUAAAAGGGGGACAGAAGGCUUAGAUGGAGCUAUACAGCACAACUUUCCCCUUCAGCUCAGUGAAUUUUCAAUAGACUGGUAUGCUAGUCAUAUUCUUAUCACUGUGACAAAAUACUGAGAAGAUGAAUGGAAAGGCAGAAAGGUUGGUGUUAGUUCACAGUGUUAAAGGCUCCAGUCCUUUCUAUGUCCUUUCUAUGGUUCUGUCCUUGACUUCUAUUGUCUCUGAACCAGUGGUAAGGCAAAGUCAUCAUUAUGUGAGCACAUGGCAGAUGUGAGCUGCUCACCUAAGGGUGUCCAGGAAGGAGAGAGAGAGAGAGAGAGAGAGAGAGAGAGAGAGAGAGAGAGAGAGAGAGAGAGUUGGUGGUGGUGGUGGUUGGGGAAGGACAGCAUGCACUCUCUGACUUACUUCCUCUGACUAAUAGCACUUGAGCUCUUCACACACACACACACACACACACACACACACACACACAUGCACACACCACAUGAAUUAUCACUGCUCAGUAGCACCAUGAUUUGAAAAUUAACUUUUCAGUAUAUGAACUUCAAGGGGACAUUUUCUAUUAUUAAACCAUAAUAAUUGAUUAUUUAUUUGCAUUGUAAGCUAGUCACAACAAUCAGAUCAUGGGUGGUAUUGCUACCAGGGAUGGAAAUAAAGUUUUCUUCUUUAAUAUUUGGGAUUGAAUAGUUCACUAAAGGAACAAUACUGAAGUAGAAUUUGUAUACAUGAAGACAUCUGGAGAGAAAGCAGAUCACAGACAGGUAGCAUCUAAUUACAAGGUUACAUAGUGUUAAGUUAUUCUCAGCUGUUAAAAUGAGUCAAUUCAAGCCAGAUUAGAGUAUAUAAAGGCAGGUUUAUUGGGAAGCAGCUCUUGGGCUGGAUCAUUGGUCCUAAGAAAGGAGGCUAGGGAAGUUGACAUGGAGAGGUAGACUGAGUGGAGGGGGAGAGAAAGAGAGAAGGAGAGAAAGCAGCGGGUGUGCAUGUAAUGCACAGGGAGAACAAGUGCAGGGAGGGAGACAGAGACAGAUGGAAGGAGAGGGGAAGAGGAGAAAGGGAUGUAGAGAGAGGGGGAGAGGGAGAGAUAGGGAGGGAGA
rnacentral:lncRNA from 1 species